ensembl:lncRNA
GAGAAAAUCAUCACUGGUCAUCUCUUCACAUUGCUGGAUAAAGGCCAAGAUGGUAUUUGCUGGGGGCAGCAGCUGGAGAGGAGAUGCGGAGAAGAAGUCUGGGAGAGUGCAGCUUGAAAUCAGAUUGCUGUGCUGCUCCCCCUCGCUCAGAGGAGCAAUGAACAUAAUCAGGUGCUUGUUAGUGGGAUUAUCUUCUCCGAGGUGUCAGAGCAGUUGAAACAGCUGAUUGGCUGGAGAUGGACUUCUUAAAACCACGCUGAUGGAAAAUAAUUGCUUUGAUCCCUUGGUAAAUAUCUGAAGUUGUAGGAACUUCAUCUAGAUGGAACCUGACCUGCUAUUUAGAGAUCUCCAAACUUGAGGGCUGCUUCCACCUGAAUCUCUGCUCUGGGAAAUGCCUCUGUAACCACUGUUCUAUCCCAGGACACGGAUCCACCUCUCAGCCCCAUGUUUAGGAGGGAUUACUUCAUUGUUGCGCUGAUGCUGCUGGAGAGCUGUCUGCCUGGGAGCUGUGCUCCUCGUCAGGACAUCUGGCUGUGGGAAAGAGCAUGCUCUGUUCCUCCACUGAGGAAAACUGAAAACAUUUAUAGCUGAAGAUAUUGCCCAGAGAAGCAGUGGAAUCUGUGCCUUUGAAAGUUUUCAGGAUCCGAUGGGGCAAAACUAAGAGAAACUUCAGCAGGAGGUUGUCUACGUGCCUCCUGAAGUCCAUCCCAACCUCCAUAGUUCUGUGAUUCUAUGAACUGUGAACACUGACAGUGUGAUGGUAAUGGAAUUUUGAAAAAAUAUUUUAAAAAUACAGCACUGGGGAUAACAAUAGCUCUUCAAGAUUGACAGCAUGUCAAAUGCUUGAAGUGAGAUGGGUUAUUUAUUUUCAACGUCCACAGCGUGCUGGAAGUAGAUUUUCUUUUGAUGGUAGUGCAGUUCUUCUGUCAAAGAAAUCUCACCGUGUUCUUCAUUGUGUCCAUUGCAAUACAUCUGUAAAAUAUAUUUUUAUCAUCUUAAUACUGUUCCUUUAAGCUGUGGUUUUUCCUCUGCCCACCCCCUCCAGCAGAGCCUGCAAGGUGCAAUAGAGAUGUCAGGGGAAAUAUUCUCAAUUGAGAAAGUUCUGCAUUUCAGAACAAUUACAUCUGUGUUUGCCAGGAUUUCAUUAGCCAAAAGCUGUAGUACGUACUGAAUAAUGUGCACAGAGUGAAAUAGUAAAUCACUGCAUACACAAUGAUAGGGCUGUUGUGUGAGUCAGUACAUGGCAACACAUGUCAGUCCUCGUCAGCGAACAGCGUGCCUUGGUUCUGUGGACUGUCCGAUUUCAGCUACCUCACCUUUUUCUCAAACACCUUCUUUCUGGAGCGGUGUUUGUCCUGAGUUGUGUGGAAGUAACAUCCAAGUUCCUCUGUGCCCAUGUUCUCAUUGCAAGAUAUUCUACUGGGUUCUUGACUCCUGCAUCUUUGGAAAGGUAUUGUCUUUCCAAUCAUGGUGUCUCCUGUUAGUGAUUGCUGCUGGAACAGCUGCACUCCAACCUCUGCAAUGAAGAUUUUAUUUUUUGUGCGUGCUCCUGACUUGUCUGCCUGUAAUUAAAAUUGAGCAAGCAGAACAUCAGUGAGUAUGGGAACUGCUGAAUCACGGCCUGAACCUCUGGUUGACCACCUGAGAUGAGCACCGAAUCAGCCGUGGGAGCACAGGUGAAGGCAAUUCAGCUGUGUGACCGGAAGGGGUGGAGCCAGGCUGCACCUCUCCUACACCCCAUUUAAGGGCUGACUGCCACUGAGGAAGGGUCUCUCUCUGGAGAUUGCUCUUCAUGGAGUUUUUGUGAGCCUCCAACAUUGCUAUGGGUUCUGAUCUGAAGAGUAUGGCCCCAGCAGCAGGAAUUUGCAAGACCAGGCAGCAUUAAAAUUCUGUGAAUCUGCUGAGAUCUGAGGUGGACUACGUGCUCCUAAGACUCACAGUCCAUGACAGGCUUCAUCUCAUCAAAAUGAAUGGUGUCUCUUUAUGGCCUGGCACGUACCGGCAGAAGGUUCUAAGUUACACCAAUGGGACAUUUAAACCUGCCCUAAAAUGCGUUUCAGGUAGGAACAGAAUGACUGUGGAGCAGCCUGCAAUGCCCAUUUGUCGAUUUCCUUGCACUGCACAUGAUCAAUCUGCAUUGCCAUGGGUAAUUUUUGCUGCAAAAGGUGCCUUGUACCAGCUUGUUGAAGCACCAUGGGAAGACACACAGACCACUUGUUUACUCUCUCCAUUUCUAGGAGGUUGGAAGAACCAAACCAUGCUAGAAACAGAACCGCUGCAAGCCAGGCAGCUGAACAGUCAGAGCUUAUGGGGGAAUCCUAGGAGGACUAUUGGAUUGAGAUUUGAGGGCUCAUCAGAGCAGAACGUUGGAUGCAGAGUUCAAAGUGCCCUUGUGUGGGUCCAUUCAGAAGCCACUCAGCAGACCACAGGCGCAUACCUUGUGAGUACUUGGUCUCCUGGAGGUCACACUGCCCCUGGAUGUUUGCUACUAGCUGCUGUGCAGCAGCACUGCCAGAUGUGGGGGAUACAAUCUGUUCCUGGCCUUUUGCUGCAGACAGAUGCAAAACCAGGACUGCUCCUACUUUGGCUCUGACUCCUGGUCGUCUCAUGUGUGACCUCAAAGCUACUGCACACCAUUGUGUACCUGCAGACUUACUGGAGCAAAGCCUCCAAAUGGCAAAUGGAAAAGCCAUCUGGACUUGUCCGUGGCCCUGCUAACUCUCAUGGUGCUGCCUUGGCUGUAGUCAACCACCUCUAGCAGGAGGAAAUGUCAUCCUUAACAAAACCAGAGAAGCUUAUCAAGUCACUGAGCAAACCUACAGUGUCCCUUGUACAGGCAGAGAUUCUUCUGAAGCCCCAUCAGAAUUUCUGGUCCAGUCAUCUGCCUCAUUCUCUCUGUUCAACAUCUGUGGUGCUUUUGUUCAGCAGGAAAAAGCAAAGAUGUUUAAAAGAAAACAAAAAACAGAGCACAAUGCAAACAAACCAAAUUAAAGAAAACGUUUUAAAGCAUUUCCUUGCUCACAAGAUGUGAGAUGGUCAUGUGUUUAAAACUGCAAUAUUAUUUCUGGCGACCGGUCUUGUGAUAUCCUUUUGUUGAUUUUUUCCAACCUCUCAAGAAACUGGAAUGAAAAUAUUUUACUGAUGUUACCAUCCCUGGGAACGGUUUGUCAACGCUGACCCAGGUUAAUGCUGCAAACUCAAAAUAUUUGGCAUGUGCUUUUGUAUUUUUCCUUCAUCAAAGAGAUUAUAUGGGGUGAAGGUCUGUUCACAUGAAAGCAGUGAGAGAUACUGGCAGUGUACUUAGCAAAACAAGAGGGGCCCUUUUAUAAAUGUGUGUGCAUAUAUGCAAAUAUGCUUUUGCAGAUGAUAAUAUAAUCAUGAAAAAGUCAUUACUGUCGCAUUAAGGUAGCUGGCUAACGGGAAAGCUGUGUGGAUGUUGUGGGGAUGGAUAUACUGUAGAAACAAGGACAUAUCCAUCACAGUUCUGUGGCAGUUCUGUGACCAGGGGAAUCAAUGGAGCCUGAUUUUCUAUGGCUUUGUGCCCUGAUGUUAUGACCCUAUCGAGAUUUUUCCAAUGUCUCAUAGGAGAUGCUGCACUUUUUACCUCAGAGAGGCACUAAGCACGGCUCUUAGCUGACUGCCUACUUUCAGAAUACUUUUAAGGAUGUAAGAGGGUUGGGUUUUUUUGGAUUUUUAUACCUUUGCCAAAUGUGCUUGCUAUAGGCCUAAACAUUUGAAGAUUCAUAGAGAGGUCUCAGAUGUACAAAGAGACGGCACGGAGUCCUAAAGCCAAUUUCUGUGAAAUCAAUUUAAGUGUCCUCACACUUUAGCUAUGGAAAAGAAAAACAAACGUGAAUUAAAACAGAAAACAUGAUUUUAAACGUAAAUACGGAAUGUGAUGGCUAAGGAAGAAAAGAUAAACAUGCAGAUUAAAAAUCAGUCACUCAGGGGAGGCCUUCCGCUAACUUGCAAUGAGAAUUUCGCACCUAAUUGCAAUCUGUGUCUUUCAAAAUCACACAACCUCUGCUGUAAAAGUACAUGAAACUUCUCACAGACGACAUUAUGUUAAAAAACUCCUCCAUUUGCUCUGGUGCCUGG